GCGCCCGUAGCUCAGCCCGGAUAGAGCACCGGACUACGAAUCCGUAGGUCGCAUGUUCGAAUCAUGCCGGGCGCGCCA
rnacentral:tRNA from 1 species